CCUACGGGAGGCAGCAGUGGGGAAUUUUCCGCAAUGGGCGAAAGCCUGACGGAGCAAUACCGCGUGAGGGAAGACGGCCUAUGGGUUGUAAACCUCUUUUCUCAGGGAGGAAAUCAAUGACGUUACCUGAGGAAUAAGCAUCGGCUAACUCCGUGCCAGCAGCCGCGGUAAGACGGAGGAUGCAAGUGUUAUCCGGAAUCACUGGGCGUAAAGCGUCUGUAGGUGGCUUAACAAGUCAACUGUUAAAUCUUGAAGCUCAACUUCGAAAUCGCAGUCGAAACUGUUAGGCUAGAGUAUAGUAGGGGUAAAGGGAAUUUCCAGUGGAGCGGUGAAAUGCGUAGAGAUUGGAAAGAACACCGAUGGCGAAGGCACUUUACUGGGCUAUUACUGACACUCAGAGACGAAAGCUAGGGUAGCAAAUGGGAUUAGAUACCCCAGUAGUCCUAGCCGUAAACAAUGGAUACUAGAUGUUGGGCAGAUCGACCUGUUCAGUAUUAAAGCUAACGCGUUGAGUAUCCCGCCUGGGAAGUAUGCGCGCAAGCGUGAAACUCAAAGGAAUUGACGG
rnacentral:rRNA from 1 species